rnacentral:rRNA from 1 species
AACUAACGCUGGCGGCGUGCCUAACACAUGCAAGUCGUACGAGAAAGUUGGCUUCGGCCGAUGAGUAAAGUGGCGCACGGGUGAGUAAUGCGUGGAUAAUCUGCCCUUUAGUUGGGAAUAACGUACCGAAAGGUGCGCUAAUACCUGAUAAUACUGCAUAACUACUGUUGUGUAGUCAAAGAAGGCCUCUGUUUACAAGCUUUUGCUGAAGGAUGAGUCCGCGUACCAUUAGCUGGUUGGUGGGGUAAUGGCCUACCAAGGCUACGAUGGUUAGCUGGUCUGAGAGGAUGAUCAGCCACACUGGAACUGAGACACGGUCCAGACUCCUACGGGAGGCAGCAGUGAGGAAUAUUGCGCAAUGGGGGCAACCCUGACGCAGCAACGCCGCGUGAGUGAGGAAGGUCUUCGGAUCGUAAAGCUCUGUCUUAGGGGACGAAAGAGUCCAGGUCAAAUACACCUGGGCCAUAACGGUACCUUAGGAGGAAGCCCCGGGCUAAC